CUAACUGACGCUGAGCACGAAAGCGUGGGUAGCAAACAGGAUUAGAUACCCUGGUAGUCCACGCCCUAAACGAUGCAUAUUUGGUGUGGGCAGUUCAUUCUGUCCGUGCCGGAGCUAACGCGUUAAAUAUGCCGCCUGGGGAGUACAGUCGCAAGGCUGAAACUCAAAGGAAUUGACGGGGGCCCGCACAAGCGGUGGAGCAUGUGGUUCAAUUCGACGCAACGCGAAGAACCUUACCUGGGCUCGAACGACUUCUCAACGCCGGUAGAAAUACCGGUAUCCCGCAAGGGAGUGGAGUCGAGGUGCUGCAUGGCUGUCGUCAGCUCGUGUCGUGAGAUGUUGGGUUAAGUCCCGCAACGAGCGCAACCCUUGUCCUGUGUUGCCAUCAUUAAGUUGGGAACUCGCAGGAGACCGCCAGCGAUAAGCUGGAGGAAGGUGGGGAUGACGUCAAGUCCUCAUGGCCUUUAUGUCCAGGGCUACACACGUGCUACAAUGGACGGUACAAUGCGUCGCUAACCUGCGAAGGGGAGCCAAUCGCAAAAAACCGUUCUCAGUUCGGAUUGCAGGCUGCAACCCGCCUGCAUGAAGCUGGAAUCGCUAGUAAUGGCAGAUCAGCAUGCUGCCGUGAAUACGUUCCCGGGCCUUGUACACACCGCCCGUCACAUCACGAAAGUGAAUUGUACUAGAAGUCUGCAGGCUGACCCGCAAGGGAGGCAGCGGCCCAAGGUAUGAUCCAUGAUUGGGGUGAAGUCGUAACAAGGUAGC
rnacentral:rRNA from 1 species